CACGGCCCAGACUCCUACGGGAGGCAGCAGUGGGGAAUCUUGCGCAAUGGGCGAAAGCCUGACGCAGCAACGCCGCGUGCGGGAAGAAGGUCUUAGGGUUGUAAACCGCUUUCAGCAGGGACGAAGGCGUCCGGGUUAAUAGCCCGUACGUUGACGGUACCUGCAGAAGAAGGUCCGGCUAACUACGUGCCAGCAGCCGCGGUAAUACGUAGGGACCAAGCGUUGUCCGGAAUCAUUGGGCGUAAAGAGCGUGUAGGCGGCCUGUUAAGUCUUGCGUGAAAUCUCGGGGCUCAACCCCGAGCGGUCGUGAGAAACUGGCAGGCUAGAGUGCGGGAGAGGAGAGUGGAAUUCCUGGUGUAGCGGUGAAAUGCGCAGAUAUCAGGAAGAACACCCGUGGCGAAGGCGGCUCUCUGGAACGCAACUGACGCUGAGACGCGAAAGCGUGGGGAGCAAACAGGAUUAGAUACCCUGGUAGUCCACGCCGUAAACGAUGGAUGCUAGGUGUGGGCGGUGUCGACUCCGUCCGUGCCGAAGCUAACGCAUUAAGCAUCCCGCCUGGGGAGUACGGCCGCAAGGCUAAAACUCAAAGGAAUG
rnacentral:rRNA from 1 species